rnacentral:rRNA from 1 species
UACGGGGGGGGCAAGCGUUGUUCGGAAUUACUGGGCGUAAAGGGCUCGUAGGCGGCCAACUAAGUCAGACGUGAAAUCCCUCGGCUUAACCGGGGAACUGCAUCUGAUACUGGAUGGCUUGAGAUUGGGAGAGGGAUGCGGAAUUCCAGGUGUAGCGGGUGAAAUGCGUAGAUAUCUGGAGGAACACCGGUGGCGAAGGCGGCAUCCUGGACCAACACUGACGCUGAGGAGCGAAAGCCAGGGGAGCAAACGGG